rnacentral:rRNA from 1 species
AGAGGGUGCAAGCGUUAAUCGGAAUUACUGGGCGUAAAGCGUGCGUAGACGGUUAUGUAAGUCGGGUGUGAAAGCCCCGGGCUCAACCUGGGAAUGCCAUUCGAGACUGCAUAGCUAGGGUGCGGAAGAGGGAAGCGGAAUUUCCGGUGUAGCGGUGAAAUGCGUAGAUAUCGGAAGGAACACCAGUGGCGAAAGCGGCUUCCUGGUCCAGCACCGACGUUCAGGCACGAAAGCGUGGGGAGCAAACAGGAUUAGAUACCCUGGUAGUCCACGCCAUAAACGAUGAGAACUAGACGUUGAGAGGGUAAGCCUCGCAGUGUCGUAGCUAACGCGCUAAGUUCUCCGCCUGGGGAGUACGGCCGCAAGGUUG